AUUGAACGCUGGCGGCAGGCUUACCACAUGCAAGUCGAACGCGUGGCGGACGGGUGAGUAAUGCUUGGGCAUCUAGCUUAUGGAGGGGGAUAACUACGGGAAACUGUAGCUAAUACCGCCUCCCUUAGGAUGAGCCCAAGAGGGAGUUGGUAGUUGGUGAGGUAAAGGCUCACAAAGCCGACGAUCUCUAGCUGGUCUGCGAGGAUGACCAGCCACACUGGGACUGAGACACGGCCCAGAAUCCUACGGGAGGCAGCAGUGGGGAAUGUGGCGCAAUGGGGGCAACCUGACGCAGCGAUGCCGCGUGAAGGAAGAAGGCCUUCGGGUUGUAAGGGGCUUUCGGGAGCGAGGCGUUAACUACAGAAGAAGCACCGGCUAACUCCGUGCCAGCAGCCGCGGUAAUUC
rnacentral:rRNA from 1 species